rnacentral:rRNA from 1 species
UUGGCGUCGAGUGGCGAACGGGUGAGUAACACGUGAGUAACCUGCCCUUCGACUUUGGGAUAACUUCAGGAAACGUGGGGCGUAAUACCGGAUAGGAGCUCCUGCUGCAUGGGUGGGGGUUGGGAAAGUUUCGGCGGUUGGGGAUGGACUCGCGGCUUAUCAGCUUGUUGGUGGGGUAGUGGCUUACCAAGGCUUUGACGGGUAGCCGGCCUGAGAGGGUGACCGGCCACAUUGGGACUGAGAUACGGCCCAG